CCUACGGGAGGCAGCAGUGGGGGAUAUUGCACAAUGGGGGGAACCCUGAUGCAGCGAAGCCGCGUGGGUGAAGAAGCGCCUCGGCGCGUAAAGCCCUGUCAGCAGGGAAGAAAAUGCCGGUACCUGACGAAGAAGCCCCGGCUAACUACGUGCCAGCAGCCGCGGGAAUACGUAGGGGGCAAGCGGUAUCCGGAUUUACUGGGUGUAAAGGGGGCGGAGAGGGCGAUUCAAGCCGGGAGUGAAAGCCCGGGGCCCAACCCCGGGACUGCUCUUGGAACUGCGUGGCUGGAGUGCAGGAGGGGCAGGCGGAAUUCCUGGUGUAGCGGUGAAAUGCGUAGAGAUCGGGAGGAACACCGGUGGCGAAGGCGGCCUGCUGGACUGCAACUGACGUUGAGGCCCGAAAGCGUGGGGAGCAAACAGGAUUAGAUACCCCGGUAGUC
rnacentral:rRNA from 1 species